GGUCGAGUGGCGUAAUGGUAGCGUGUGGUCCUCCUAUCCAGAAGGGCUCAGACUGAGGUUGUGGGUUCGAGUCCCAUCUCGAUCG